GACAGAGGGUGCAAACGUUGUUCGGAAUUACUGGGCGUAAAGCGCGUGUAGGCUGCUCCGAUAGUCGGAUGUGAAAGCCCUGGGCUCAACCUAGGAAGUGCAUUCGAUACUCCGGAGCUCGAGUCCUGGAGAGGAAGGCGGAAUUCCAGGUGUAGCGGUGAAAUGCGUAGAUAUCUGGAGGAAUACCGGUGGCGAAGGCGGCAUCCUGGACCGGCAUUGACGCUGAUGAGCGAAAGCUAGGGGAGCAAACGGG
rnacentral:rRNA from 1 species